rnacentral:lncRNA from 10 species
GCUAACGGUUCCCAAACAGCCCCCGAAAACGCUACGUGAGCUGGGCCCUGGGCCAGAGGCAGAAAACGGACGGAAGAAAAGGUCUGGCCGGUGAGUGUCAGAGUGAGGGCGAGAUUGGGUGGUGUUCUCUGCCGGUGGAUAGGCUCGACCGUCCGGUUUGGGAUUGGGGUUAGGUAUUAGGGAGCGGUUCAAAAUUAUGCUAAUUGUUAAGAUUACGAGUAUUAUUUAAAAAGAUACACAACAGCAACAAUACAAUGAGCCCACGAAGAUCAAAUGCCAGUUAACUGAUUUAAGCAGCUUUGAUAGGAAGAAAAUGCUGAAUUUAAUGCUAACAAAAAGAUCUAAGUGCGCUGUUAGGGGCUAAGACUUUAACAUUAUGGGCCAGCCACUGUUCUAAACCCUUCACAUUUGGUCACUCAUUUAAUUCCUACUUUAUGAGGUAGAUAUCAUUAUAAUACUGUUUUACAGAUGGGGAACCUGAGGCACAGAGAGAAAAAUGUAUUAGCCAAGGUCAUAUAACUAGUAACUGGCAGAACAAAGAUUCAUACCCAGGCAUUCUUCCUUUAAAUUCUGUACUCUGGCCUUUCAUUGAUAACCUGGUUUUAUCAGCUUAGGAAAUUUGCUAUCCAGAUGGAAGUAUAAGUUUCUACAGAGAUAUGUUAUUGCAGCAGUGUUCUGAAUCUCAUCGGGUUUGUUGGCAAUUUGCCUUUCAACAAAGGGUUUUUUUUUUUUUUUUUGAUAAGGGUGGCUUCCACAGAGAUUUAAGGAGAACAAUAAAAAUUUUCAUUUUAAUAAAUAAGCCCCAUUUCAA